UGGACCCCUUGGGAUAUAUACUACACGGAUAACUGUAGUAAUUCUAGAGCUAAUACGUGCCUCGAUGCCCUGAUCCGCAAGGUGAGGGGUGCACUUAUUAGAUUACAGACCAAACGACUUCGGUCGUAGUUUGUGGUGACUCUGGAUAACUUUGUAUGAUCGCAGCUGGCCUUGUUGUCGGCGACGGAUCCAUCAAAUAUCUGCCCUAUCAACUUUCGAUGGUAGGAGACAUGCCUACCAUGGUUAUGACGGGUAACGGGGAAUCAGGGUUCGAUUCCGGAAAGGGAUUCCUCCAAACUUUUAAUUUAUCCAAGGGGGGGGACGACGCACUUCUUGCUAUUGCCAAGCUCUCCGUCGACUCCUCGUUUUUGAGGAGCAUAAACCUGAGAGGGAAACUCAACGCACGGGGUAAAGUAAAUGUCACAUAGUAGUGCGAGCCCAUAAACCAGAUCAAAUAAGAAUCACAGAUUGUCCAGGCGCCUU
rnacentral:rRNA from 1 species